UCAAGCGGAUUGUUCGAAGUUCUUACAAUUUAUCACUGGUACAUCUAAAGUGCCGUUACAAAGUUUUGCUGCGUUAGAAGGCAUGAACGGCAUACAAAAGUUCCAAAUUCACAGAGAAGACAAGUUGACAGACAGGCUUUCAUUUGCACAUAUUUGUUUCAAUCAACUGGAUUUGCCAGUGUACGAGACGUAUGAUAAACUCUGAACAAUUCUACUCAAGGCGACUUACGAAUGCACCAAAGAAUUUGGAUUUGCAUAAGCUUACCAGAAUUUGCUCCUGUACAAUUUCGAUUUCAAUCGAUACAAUUUCUCGUACAAUCGAUGAUAUUCUAGAGACCAAACUUAUGGUUGGAUCUUUACAGCCAGUGAUAACAUUCUGGACGUGCAAUGGCCUAUUGCUUGCAAAAUUUUUAACGUACUUACGAAAAUUGUUAUACGCAAUGUUAUAUGUAAAACUAUCUUGUGAACGUAGCGAAUCACAGUGCUCUAAUUGCUAUAAUAUGUAUUAUUACACUUAUACGACUUUAUAAAUA
rnacentral:lncRNA from 13 species